rnacentral:rRNA from 2 species
GUUUGACCUCGGAUCAGGUGGGGAUA